AUUGAACGCUGGCGGCAUGCUUUACACAUGCAAGUCGAACGGCAGCGCGGUCUUCUUCCUGGCGGCGAGUGGCGAACGGGUGUGUAAUACAUCUGAACGUGCCCACUAGUUUGUGAUAGCUCGUCUAAAUCCGUAUUAAUACCGCAUACUACCUGAGGGUGAAAUCGUGGGUUCUUCUGACCUCGCGCUUUUUUAUCUGCCGAUGGCAGUUUUGCUAGUUGGUGGGGUAAAUGCCUACCAAGGCGACGAUCUGUAGCUGGUCUGAGAGGACGACCAGGCAAACUGAGACUGAGAGACGGACAAGACACGUAGGGGAGGCAGCAGUGGGGAAUUGUGGACAAUGGGCGAAAGAGUGAACAAGAAAUGCCGCGUGUGUGAAGAAGGCCUGCGGGUUGGAAAGCACUUUUGGAGGGAAAGAAAAGGACUGAGGAAAUACAACGGUUAGAGGACGGAACAAGCAGAAUAGGAACGGGCAAACUACGU
rnacentral:rRNA from 1 species